UAGGGAGCUGUCAUGUCUGGGGUCAUACCUGGAUCUUUCAUAACCUGGCAGGGAAGAAAGCCGGAGAUGAUGCUUUGAAUAACGAGUGUGACUGUGCUGUAAUUAAACUGGAUGUGUUCUCGGAGAAUUCUCCUGUUUUUGUGGCAGAAUCUGGCUGUGGUCACAGGUGAUGGGCCAGAUUUGUCCUACAGACUAUGGUUUGCUCACCUCUGGCUUGGAGCACUGGCUUAAGCAUCAGAUUACAUGAUUUUCUAGCUGUCAGACCUUUGGGAAAUUAUCUGAGAGCCUCAGUUGUGCCACCUGUAGAAUGGAGAUAAGGAUUCUAUGUAAAGCACUGGGUUGUUGAGAGAAUUAAAUGAGUUGAUGUAUGUGAGAUGCUGAACAUAGAGCCAAGCAGGAAGAGUCCAAGGUCAUGGGAGUCGUGGCUGAGAUUAGGAUGAUGGAGAUGAUGAUAGAGGGAGGGGAGCUGGGUCUCAGUGGAGCACUGGCUGGGAAGUCAGAAGCCUGGUUUCUAUACUCUCCUUAGCUGCUGACUCUGGGGGACCUGGGUGAAUCCUUCCUCCUCUCUGGCUUCAGUUUUGUCACCUUGCAGGUGAGGAAGUUGGACUGAGGAGUGUCCAGGCUUCCUUCCUACUCAAUAACUCUGGGAUUCUAUAGUGCCCUUUAAAAGAUAUGGCAUUGCGCAGUCGGCACUCGCUAAAAUCAGUGCCAUAUUAACCAUUGCACCCACUGACACCUCAAAGCCAAGGCCUCCCGCCGUCUGAAAACCUGGUCUUCAUCAGAAAGUCCCCAUCGCUGCUCUGUGAGGCCGCUCGUUCAUUUACUCAUUGGUGUGUUUGUUCAGAAGUGAUCAAGCCUCCUACCACAUGCAGCGCAGAUGCUGAAGCUACCAGGGCGAGGAUAACCAAAGUCUCUGCCCUCGUGUGACUGGCUCUCAUGAGAAAUCCCCUUUGUAGGGAACAAGUCUGAUCCGGCCGUGGUCACUGCAGGGAGCGAACGAGUCUGAUCCAUCUGUGGUCACUGAAGUGGGUGAACGAGUCUGAUCCGGCUGUGGUCACUGCAGUGGGGUGAAUUGUGUCCCUGAAAAAGAUGUGUCCACAUUCUAAUCUUCCAGACCGCACGAAUAUGAACUUAUUUGGAAAUAGAAUCUUCAUAGACAUAAUUAAGAUAAGGAUCUUGAGAUGAGAUCGUCUUGAACUUACGGUGGGUUGUAAAGCCGAUGACAGGUGUCCUCAUAAGAAGCAGAAGAGAAGACACAGACACACAUAGAGGAGAGGCCACAUGAAAACGGAAGCAGAGAUGGGAGUGAUGCAUCCACAAGCCAGGGAAUGCCUGGGGCCACCAGGAGUUGGAAGAGGCAGGAAGGAUCCCCGCUGGAGGCUUCAGAGGGAGCAG
rnacentral:lncRNA from 1 species